AUUGAACGCUGGCGGCAGGCUUAACACAUGCAAGUCGAGCGGGGUGAUGGUGCUUGCACUAUCACUUAGCGGCGGACGGGUGAGUAAUGCUUAGGAAUCUGCCUAUUAGUGGGGGACAACAUCUCGAAAGGGAUGCUAAUACCGCAUACGUCCUACGGGAGAAAGCAGGGGAUCACCUGUGACCUUGCGCUAAUAGAUGAGCCUAAGUCGGAUUAGCUAGUUGGUGGGGUAAAGGCCUACCAAGGCGACGAUCUGUAGCGGGUCUGAGAGGAUGAUCCGCCACACUGGGACUGAGACACGGCCCAGACUCCUACGGGAGGCAGCAGUGGGGAAUAUUGGACAAUGGGGGGAACCCUGAUCCAGCCAUGCCGCGUGUGUGAAGAAGGCCUUAUGGUUGUAAAGCACUUUAAGCGAGGAGGAGGCUCUUUUGGUUAAUACCCAAGAUGAGUGGACGUUACUCGCAGAAUAAGCACCGGCUAACUCUGUGCCAGCAGCCGCGGUAA
rnacentral:rRNA from 1 species